ACGAAGGGUGCAAGCGUUAAUCGGAAUUACUGGGCGUAAAGGGUGCGUAGGCGGUUUGUUAAGUUGGAUGUGAAAGCCCUGGGCUCAACCUGGGAAUGGCAUCCAAAACUGGCGAGCUGGAGUGCGGUAGAGGAUGGCGGAAUUCCCGGUGUAGCGGUGAAAUGCGUAGAGAUCGGGAGGAACAUCGAUGGCGAAGGCAGCCAUCUGGACCAGCACUGACGCUGAGGCACGAAAGCGUGGGGAGCAAACAGGA
rnacentral:rRNA from 1 species